UUUCUUUGGCAGCACAUAUGCUAAAAUUGGAACAAUACAGAGUAGAUUAGUAUGGCCCCUGCACAAGGAUGAUAUGCAAAUUCAUGAAGAGUUCCAUAUAUUU
rnacentral:snRNA from 1 species